UCGAGCGAGCGGAACUAAAUAUUUACUUCGGUAAUGACGUUAGGAAAGCGAGCGGCGGAUGGGUGAGUAACACGUGGGGAAUCUGCCCCAUAGUCUGGGAUACCACUUGGAAACAGGUGCUAAUACCGGAUAAGAAAGCAGAUCGCAUGAUCAGCUUUUAAAAGGCGGCGUAAGCUGUCGCUAUGGGAUGGCCCCGCGGUGCAUUAGCUAGUUGGUAAGGUAAAGGCUUACCAAGGCGAUGAUGCAUAGCCGAGUUGAGAGACUGAUCGGCCACAUUGGGACUGAGACACGGCCCAAACUCCUACGGGAGGCAGCAGUAGGGAAUCUUCCACAAUGGACGCAAGUCUGAUGGAGCAACGCCGCGUGAGUGAAGAAGGUUUUCGGAUCGUAAAGCUCUGUUGUUGGUGAAGAAGGAUAGAGGUAGUAACUGGCCUUUAUUUGACGGUAAUCAACCAGAAAGUCACGGCUAACUACGUGCCAGCAGCCGCGGUAAUACGUAGGUGGCAAGCGUUGUCCGGAUUUAUUGGGCGUAAAGCGAGCGCAGGCGGAAGAAUAAGUCUGAUGUGAAAGCCCUCGGCUUAACCAAGGAACUGCAUCGGAAACUGUUUUUCUUGAGUGCAGAAGAGGAGAGUGGAACUCCAUGUGUAGCGGUGGAAUGCGUAGAUAUAUGGAAGAACACCAGUGGCGAAGGCGGCUCUCUGGUCUGCAACUGACGCUG
rnacentral:rRNA from 1 species